AUGAUGAUGCCGAUGAUGAAGGUUUACCUGCUGAUCUGGGCUGUCGGUGCUACAAGAGUGUUACUAAUGGAGGACGAUAAGUACCAACCGUCUGAUGAUGAAGAUUUACAUGAAGGCAGCGGUGAAGACCACAUCCAGACACCUGAAAACUCGACCACUUCCUCCUCAGAAGCCGCACUGUGGAGGACUGGACCUUCGCUGUGGAUCGUCCUGACAUCUGUAAUCUUCAGAGUCUGCGUCGGUGCACAUCUGUAGCUUCGUCCGGGCUGCGACUGAGACCUCAGUGAAUGUUACGAAUGUACUGUUUUAUCCGUGGGUGUGUUUCAUUGCUGUUGUUGCUGCUGUUUGUUUUCCACCGUCUGUUGUAUUCGUCCAUUAGGAUUUGUAAAGUGUCCUGGGGUGUUGAUUGUUGCUUAUAAAUAAAUGUAGUAUAUUAGUUUCCUUUUGAUUGAAUUUGAUUGAGUACAUGUAUGAACUUCUCUAGUGUUGCUCUUUAAUUGGAAACUUGACAUUUACUUUGAGGUCGCUGACACAUUUCUGAACAAACACUUGCUUGAUAAAUGGUUUAUAAAGCAUGUGAUAUUUGUUAACAGUCCAGUAACAACUAAAGCUCAUAUUGAUAACAUGUAUAUAGACAAAUCAAGUGCUACAUUAUACGUCUACUGUACUGUAUGUGCCUUCAAACAUGACAGAGUGAGAAUCAGCACUCAACCGGUCCGACGAUGUGUUAGGUGGUAGUGAGGUAACAAGUCAAAAACUGAGCGAGCAUCCUGUCGAUGCGGAGCUGACGCUGCGGUCGAUGACUCAGUUCCUGAAUACUGACAUAUACCGAGAGACAUUUAGAGGGUAGAGAGACACUGAGAGUGUUAUAGAGAGAGAGAGAGAGAGAGAGAGAGAGAGUGAGGGUGGUGGGUAUGUUCAGAAACAGGGAGGGGGAAAGGAAAAGUCAUAGUGCAGAAACAAGUGAUUGUAGGCCGAAAGAACGAAUACCAGAAUAUAAAUACACCCUGCAGAGAUUGAACAUGUGCGUCCUUCCCAAGUGAUGAACUUUACAGUGUUUCCAUUAAAGGAACAGUCCACCCAAAGAUGUAAAUCCAGGGAAGGGUCAAACUCAUCAGGACAAUCACAAGGGAGGGAAAACAAGACGAAGGGCAGGAAGUAACACAACCAGACACACGAGGACGAAUCUGUAAUAAAACAGAAAACAGUAACUAAACCCAAAACCCGAAGUUUGACAGUUUGGAGCUGUGUGGAGCAUUUCUAAUGUUGUUUUCCGCUGAGGUUAUGCACGCUAACUGUAUUAACUCAGCAGCUACAGGGAAGAUUUCAGCUUAAAAAGUUCUUAUUUUUAAACUUCUGCAGACAUUUACGAGACUGUGCAGAAGAAAUUUCAUGUAUUUUUUUUCAGUUGUUUAGGAGAAAGCUGCAGCUUGGGAACUCCGUGCACGUUUUUUUGGGUGAACUGUUCCUUUAACAUCGUGAGAGGCAAGACGAGAGCAGCAGGUUGGAUGUGAGAGAGAGAGAGAGCUGCAGAGACAGGAAGAGAGAGAGAGAGAGUUGCAGAGAAGAAGUGAGAGUGGAGGUUAGAGGAAGACGGUCGUGGAAAAAGGAACAACUUAAAGAUACUAAAAGGACACUGAGCCGCCUCGCUGAUGACCAUCCACCAUCUUUAAAGACUUAUUUUUAGAAAGAGAAAGAGAAGUUUCAUCAUCGUCACCAUGAAGAAGUCGUGGAGUCACCUCUGCCUCCUCGGUAAGUUUCACCUCAAACUUACUUCCUUUUGUUUGUGUCGUUUUUCAGACUUAUGACAAACUGAUUUAUUGAUUAGAGUAAAUAAAAGCAGGAUAGAAGCGCCGCAGGUGAACUUGAUCAGGGCUCCCGCCCUCGCUCGCACGCCAACAUUCAAAUCUCCCGAGGCGCGAGCUUG
ensembl:lncRNA